AGGGUAAUAGCUCAGUGGUAGAGUGCAUGCAUAGCAUGCAUGAGGUCCUGGGUUCAAUCCCCAGUACCUCCA
rnacentral:tRNA from 1 species